GGCUGGAACAGUGUAUAAGGGGUUGAAACUCUUUGUAUUGUGUUUAGAAUAGUGUACGAGAGGUUGAAACAGUGUAUAUGGGGUUGAAACUGCUUGUAUUGUGUUUAGAAUAGUGUACGAGAGGCUGGAACAGUGUAUAUGGGGUUGAAACUGCUUGUAUUGUGUUUAGAAUAGUGUACGAGAGGCUGGAACAGUGUAUAUGGGGUUGAAACUGUUUGUAUUGUGUUUAGAAUAGUGUAUGAGAGGCUGGAACAGUGUAUAUGGGGUUGAAACUGUUUGUAUUGUGUUUAGAAUAGUGUAUGAGAGGUUGGAACAGUGUAUAUGGGGUUGAAACUGUUUGUAUUGUGUUUAGAAUAGUGUAUGAGAGGCUGGAACAGUGUAUAUGGGGUUGAAACUGUUUGUAUUGUGUUUAGAAUAGUGUAUGAGAGGUUGGAACAGUGUAUAUGGGGUUGAAACUGUUUGUAUUGUGUUUAGAAUAGUGUACGAGAGGCUGGAACAGUGCAAAUGGGGUUGAAAUAAAAAUCUUAGGGGUUUGGUCAUGGAGGUAGAAUUGGUGGAGUUGACACAGCCCACUAACCCCAUUCAUUGAGGUGAAGCCGACGAACUGUCAAAUUUACGGCCAAAAGAUGGGGGUGGGCGAGCCUGGCCGAGCCCAUUAGAGGGAGCCUGACCUGACAACACUUGGCCGUAAAAAUGACAUCUCGGGCGGAUUCACUUAAUUGGGGCUGAUGUCGACUCCACCGAUUCUACCUCCAUGGGUUUGAUUCAGUGUAUGAGAUGUAUUAAUAAUGUAUAGAGAAGUGAAACAAGUUAAUAAGGGGUUGAAACAUGAGCGGUCAAAAUAGCAAGCAAUUUGAAACAGUGUAUGAGGGGUUGUACGUCAAGUGUUUAUAUUUUUUUCACUGGAGUCCACACAAAAUACUUUAACAUAACAUUCCAAAGAACUCAU